rnacentral:rRNA from 1 species
AGUGAACGCUGGCGGUAGGCCUAACACAUGCAAGUCGAACGGCAGCACAGUAAGAGCUUGCUCUUACGGGUGGCGAGUGGCGGACGGGUGAGGAAUACAUCGGAAUCUACUUUUUCGUGGGGGAUAACGUAGGGAAACUUACGCUAAUACCGCAUACGACCUACGGGUGAAAGCAGGGGAUCUUCGGACCUUGCGCGAUUGAAUGAGCCGAUGUCGGAUUAGCUAGUUGGCGGGGUAAAGGCCCACCAAGGCGACGAUCCGUAGCUGGUCUGAGAGGAUGAUCGGCCACACUGGAACUGAGACACGGUCCAGACUCCUACGGGAGGCAGCAGUGGGGAAUAUUGGACAAUGGGCGCAAGCCUGAUCCAGCCAUACCGAGUGGGUGAAGAAGGCCUUCGGGUUGUAAAGCCCUUUUGUUGGGAAAGAAAAGCAGCAGGUUAAUACCCCGCUGUUCUGACGGUACCCAAAGAAUAAGCACCGGCUAACUUCGUG